rnacentral:rRNA from 1 species
UUAAAUAAUUUAUUAAAUAGCGUAUAUUAAAGUUGUUGCAGUUAAAAAGCUCGUAGUUGAAUUUCGGGAUCAAUAUUUCGGUCAUGCCGUUGGUAUGCACUGUUAUCAUUGAUUUCUCACCUUCUAAAGAACCGUAAUGCCAUUAAUUUGGUGUUACGGGGAAUUAGGACUGUUACCUUGAAAAAAUUACAGUGUUUAAAGCAGGCUCACGCUUGAAUACAUUAGCAUGGAAUAAUGAAAUAGGACAUCCGAUUCUAUUUUGUUGGUUUCUAGGAUCGAUGUAAUGAUUAAUAGGGAUAGUUGGGGGCAUUAGUAUUCAAUUGUCAGAGGUGAAAUUCUUGGAUUUAUUGAAGACUAACUACUGCGAAAGCAUUUGCCAAGGAUGUUUUCAUUAAUCAAGAACGAAAGUUAAGACUA